GCGUGACCAUCAUUGAUCAUCAUGCCAUUAUCUUCCCAUCAUCAUCCACGGAUCACGCUGUCCGGAUUUCAAGAUCAGCCCAGCUUGAUGAUGAUGUUGGAACGGCAGGACUGCCUUCCGGCAGUUAUUCCACACAUGGCCGGUCUCUCGGGGUCGAUAAAAACGGCAAGCGGAGGAGAAGAGGGCCAGCGGCCGGGAAUGAAUGGCGGCGUUUAAACCAGACGCUCCGACACUUUAUCCGUGCUUCUGUCAUCUGUGAAAGCCAGGCCGGGACCCACAGAGCACAGCGGCUGCAUUAACCCGAGAGCUCAGAAGGUUCUGGAUGGUGUCGGGGGUGUGCUUCAGCUCGCAAAAUGCAAAAUACAGAAACAAGGAGCCCUGCGCCGGAGGUCAACUCAGCGGUCCUGACCACAGACGGAUGCACCUGUCACAGACCACUUGACCACAGACACGGACACGGCACCAAAACGCUGACUUUCAGGAAGUGGUCUGGUUACUUAAAGCUGUAAUGCUCGAUAUUAUGUAAAAUGUAUUAUUGUAUAAUUUAUCAGUAUCACAGCAUAUUAUACCAUUGCUUCAGGAUCCUGAUGAACUGAAUUGUACUGUAGUCUUAAUAUUAAUAUAUUUGUGUGUGCGUGCUUUGUACACCAAUCUUUACUGUAUCAUAGUAUCAUAAUAUUGAUCUAAUAUUGAUCAUAAUAUUGAUCUAUGU